GUUUAGGGUAGUAUUAACUAGUCCAGGGUGGUUUAGGGUAGUAUUAUCUAGUCCAGGGUGGUUUAGGGUGGUAUUAUCUAGUCCAGAGUGGUUUAGGGUAGUAUUAACUAGUCCAGGGUGGUUUAGGGUAGUAUUAACUAGUCCAGGGUGGUUUAGGGUAGUAUUAUCUAGUCCAGGGUGGUUUAGGGUGGUAUUAUCUAGUCCAGGGUGGUUUAGGGUAGUAUUAUCUAGUCCAUGGUGGUUUAGGGUAGUAUUAUCUAGUCCAGAGUGGUUUAGGGUGGUAUUAUCUAGUCCAGAGUGGUUUAGGGUAGUAUUAACUAGUCCAGGGUGGUUUAGGGUAGUAUUAACUAGUCCAGGGUGGUUUAGGGUAGUAUUAACUAGUCCAGGGUGGUUUAGGGUAGUAUUAUCUAGUCCAGAGUGGUUUAGGGUGGGAGGGUAGUAUUAUCUAGUCCAGAGUGGUUUAGGGUAGUAUUAACUAGUCCAGGGUGGUUUAGGGUAGUAUUAACUAGUCCAGGGUGGUUUAGGGUAGUAUUAACUAGUCCAGGGUGGUUUAGGGUAGUAUUAACUAGUCCAGGGUGGUUUAGGGUAGUAUUAUCUAGUCCAGGGUGGUGGAGGGUUAGUACUGCAAGUGUCAAAAAUGAAUAUUAGAAGAAUACUGAGAAAACUGUGAACUUCUAGAUGGGCUAGGGAGAAUGAUAAAAUGAGGGCACUUGUUGCAGGCACAAUUUCCUACAAAAAAUACUAUUUAAAAAAAGAAAAAUGUGCUUAAAACCCUGCAGAUGUCUUCAUAACAGCACCUGGUUGAGGAAUGAAAAGUUGUAAAACACUACAGAUUUAUAAUAUCAUUGACAUGCUUUUACUUUCAUGUUUUUUCCUUUGAGGUGACAUCAUGAGAUAGAAUGUAAGGUUACAGAACAGCCUUCUCUUAGACUUUCUUUAUACCGCGAACCAGCAAAGCAUGGCCUUUUCCUUGGGGGAACAUAAAGUAUAAAACAUAAAACCCUAACACCUAAAAUUGUUGUGAAAUAACAUGGUUCAGUAAGCAAUUUAAUUAUCUUAGGAUACUGGAGGUAUAAAAAGCAGUGACUUAAAUGUUAAAAUUCUGAAUUUGGCCUACAACAUAAAUACAUUUGUUCUUGAAGACUGUUAUCCGGAGUCUCUAACAGUAGUGAAGCCAUGCAUUCAUACACCUCUAACCCUGGGGUUGUAAACGCCAUGUUCUACCAACUGAGAUACUGGUAGAUAUUUAACAAAAUACACCAAGCUAUUUAAAAAAUAUCUUUAUCUCAGGAUACCGCAUGUUCGGUUCAUGUUCAAUAUCAUCCACUUGAUGGCCACAGCUCGGGUCUAAAUAUUUGGUGAUAACUGCUGAUGAUUGAUACACAGUUUAUAGUGCAUUAUAAAGCAGGUGUUGUGUCUAUAUGGCACAGGUGGUAUGGGAACAAAAGUCAGCAAAGUCCUGACCGAGACACAAACAGAAUGUCAAGUCAAGGUCAGACUCGUGAAUAUAGCCUGUUUAAGACAACCUGGUACGUUCAGUUUCAUAAGCAACUGAAAGAGCUUUGUACCCAACAAAACCAGGUACAACUUAUCAUGGGAAAGACUCUGCCAGCCAUAUGUUUGUCUUAACUGGCACCCUAUUCCCUAUAUAGUACACUACCUUAGACCAGAGCCCUAGCCCCAUAUUCCCUAUAUAGUACACUACCUUAGACCAGAGCUCUAGCACCAUAUUCCCUAUAUAGUACACUACCUUAGACCAGAGCUCUAGCACCAUAUUCCCUAUAUAGUACACUACCUUAGACCAGUGCCUUGCCCCAUAUUCCCUAUAUAGUACACUACUUUAGACCAGAGCCCUAGCCCCAUAUUCCCUAUAUAGUACACUACUUUAGACCAGAGCCCUAGCCCCAUAUUCCCUAUAUAGUACACUACUUUAGACUAGAGCCCUAGCCCCAUAUUCCCUAUAUAGUACACUACUUUAGACUAGAGCCCUAGCCCCAUAUUCCCUAUAUAGUACACAACCUUAGACCAGAGCCAUAGCCCCAUAUUCCCUAUAAAAUACACUACCUUAGACCAGAACCCACAAUCAAAAACUCUGAUCUACAAAAUCAGUAUUCUUUCUUGUAACAGGCCCACAAUGUGGUUACUCAAGUCUGAUUUUGAUGUUUGUUCGUCAGUUGCAGACCGGUAUGGCCAGCCCUGCCUGCCAUGUGGUAGGAUCAAGAAUAGUUUGUGGCUUGAGUGGCUGGGGUCAUUGAGUAUUUUUAAGGCCUUCACCUGACACCGCCUGGCCGGGGGCUCGUCCCUGAUGAUGAACUUGGCUCUUUGCACCAAGUUCUGAAGCAUCUUGCAGUCAUGUGUGAGCAGUUUCCAUACCAAGCCAUGGUGCCACUUGGCAAGAUACCUCUUAAUAGUUCAGCUGUAGAACUCAUUGAGGUUCUGAGGGCCUGGGACAAAUACCUUCAGCGUCCUGGAGUUAAAAUGUUCACAACUGUCUGUGGAUGUGUGGACCAUGUUAGCUGUGAAAAAAGCUUUCUUACAGUAUUCCUCUUUACCAGGUUGGAGAGAAUUGUGUGGAGUGCGAUCAAGAUUUGUUUUAAAGUCUUAUAUCAGCUAUGGAGAGUGAAAUCAUAAUCGUCCAGUGCAUGACAUUUUGCUUGAUGCUGGUUUACUUGUUGGACUUACUACUGGGAUUUCUUGGAGCAACGUAUGUAACGUAAAUCUGGUCACUGUGGGGAUGUGCCAUAAAUCUGGUCACAGGUCAUUGGAUGAAUGCCGUAACAUUAUUCUGUCUGUGACAUUGUGACACUCUUGUAGCUUAGCAUCUGCUUCAUCCAAUCUAAUUCUGAAUUGAGUGCAUCAAUGGAACUUCCUGUUUGAGUUUUUGUCUGAAGGCAAGAAGCAGGAGAAUAGAAUUUGGUGUUCUUACUUGGCCUUGAGCCUUUUCCGUUGACUGUUUACCGUGCAGAUUGAAGAAAGAUGGCAGGGAGUUUGUCUUAGAUUGCAGGAAGUUGGUGUCUUAAAUUGGAGGUGUUUUUGUGUGCGUCUAUAUGAGGCUGUGUUAGGGGUUUAGUAAUUGAAUAGAGGUUCCACCACUGGAGGGGUUUGGGGACAUUUGUAAUAUGAGAGUUAUCCGUUUCCUUCUGCCAAAUCACUCCCUGUACAGGGGCAGACUGGGAUCACCGCUCCACCUGGGCACUUCUAAAUACCUGGCCCAUUUUCUUCCCUUUAAGGUACCCACAUGGGGUCACAUUUUUAUCUUGUAAUUUCUCGAAAUAAUGCACAUUGAUCAUUUGCCAGAAAUGAUCUAUGGCCAGUUGGUACCUGGUCCAGUAGAACCCUGCACUGAAGGUUUUGUAAUCCUCCAUUCUUCUGUACAGUGACAAUGAAUCAUGUGGUUUAUACAGUGGCUGUGCAGCUUAGUUCCAUAUGUACAUUAUCCUGACUGAACUGCUUUGAUUUUUGAAGCUAGGAAGCAGAUACUCUUACUGUUAUGAUAUUCCAAGUCUCCCAAUAUGAUAUUCCUGGAAUUCCAAUUUUAUAUUCCUGGGAUCCAAGUGUGUUAUUCUUGGGGUGAAAAUGUGUUAUUACUAGAAUAAUUCAAAUGUUUGUGUACAAACAAUGUCUCUACCAUCUGAGGUGAUCCAGUCACUGAAUGACCUAUGGUAAUCCAGUCUGUGAAUGAUCUUCUGUGGUGAUCCAGUCUGUGAAUUACCUUCUGUGGUGAUCCAGUCUGUGAAUAACCCUCUAUGGUGAUUCAGUCUGUGAAUGACCUGUGGUGAUUCAGUCUGUAAAUGACCUUCUGUGGUGAUCCAGUCUAUUAAUAUUAUCCUGUGGUGAUUCAGCAAAAAAUUCUGUAAAAUGAUUAGGGCCAAAUCUCUCUGGGUCUGUGGCCAAAAGUGUCAACCUAUGUCCGUAAGUACUUUCAAUCAGACCCCUAGUAAAUAGGAUGUAAUGUUAUUUGUGAUGCAGCUACAGUCUCCUUUAGUAUCUCUCACUGUGAAGGAUGAAAUGCAAUUUUAAAAAAAUAUAAUUGAUCCAACCAGGCAAUAGAGGUACAGCCAAAUUCAAGAAUGGAAAAUGUCUGAAACAGAGAACAUCUCUCUAACAAGGAAUUUUGUUGUAAAAUUUGAGAUGUCUGUGUGACACAACAAGAACCAAUAAUGGGAAGUGCAUCAUCAGUCUGUGUGUGUGUUUUUAUCUAUGUGUGGGAUUCAGUGAAUCCAUUGAAUGUUCACUGAAUGUUUGAACAACACUAUAAAAAACAACUGGCAGGCAGCAGUUCUGUCACCUCACAAUUGUGUCCUUUUAUUUAAAUUCUGUUUGUCAUCAGUGAUGGUCCUUCUUGCCUGGGUAUCAUUAAAGACAUUCCUUUGGAGUGUGCAGUUUACACAAAACUGCUCUGGGGGACUACAACUUCCCUGAGCCUGCCAGCAAUUGCUGCUUUGAGACAAGGAGAAAAUUGGACUUCAU
ensembl:lncRNA